rnacentral:rRNA from 3 species
GACUAGCUAACUGAAUCAAUAAUAAAAAAUUGAUAACAUAAGGGAAAAUAAUGAUAUUACCUUAUUAUUAGUGUCGUCCAAAACUGGUGCCAGAAGACUCGGUAAGGCCAGAGACAUAAACGUUAAUCGUCUUAAUCAGGCGUAAAGGGUUUGUAGGCGGCUUUAAAAUUUACUAAAAAAUAAAUAAAAUAAUAAGUAAAGAAUAAAAGCUAGAAUCAAAUAGAGGAUAUAUGAAAGAAUGCUUAGAGUAGGUCUGAUAUCCUUAGAUACUAAGUAGAAUAUUAAAGGCGAAAGCUUUUUUCCAUUAAUGAUUGACGCUCAGAAACGAAGGUGAGGAUAGGAAAUAGGAUUAGAUACCCAGAAUACCCCUCUCUGUCAACGAUGAAUGGUAGUUAUUAGUAAAAAUUUAUUAAUGGCAAUGUUAACACGAUAACCAUUCCGCCUUGUGAGUACAACUGCAAAGUUGAAAACAAAAAAAUUAGUCGGUUUCGGAGCAAACGAAGUGAAGCAUGUUAUUUAAU